UCCCUGGUGGUUCAGUGGCUAGAACUUCACACCCCAAUGCGGGGGGCCGAGGUUCAAUCCCUGGUCAGGGAA
rnacentral:tRNA from 1 species